rnacentral:rRNA from 1 species
GACGAACGCUGGCGGCGUGCUUAACACAUGCAAGUCGAACGAUGAACCGGGUGCUUGCACUCGGGGAUUAGUGGCGAACGGGUGAGUAACACGUGAGCAACCUGCCCCUGACUCUGGGAUAAGCGCUGGAAACGGCGUCUAAUACUGGAUAUGUCCCGUCACCGCAUGGUGUGCGGGUGGAAAGAUUUUUCGGUUGGGGAUGGGCUCGCGGCCUAUCAGCUUGUUGGUGAGGUAAUGGCUCGCCAAGGCGUCUACGGGUAGCCGGACUGAGAGGGUGACCGGCCACACUGGGACUGAGACACGGCCCAGACUCCUACGGGAGGCAGCAGUGGGGAAUAUUGCACAAUGGGCGGAAGCCUGAUGCAGCAACGCCGCGUGAGGGAUGACGGCCUUCGGGUUGUAAACCUCUUUUAGCAGGGAAGAAGCGAGAGUGACGGUACCUGCAGAAAAAGCACCGGCUAACUACGUGCCAGCAGCCGCCGUAA